AUGGACGCGUCCUGCCUCCCAACGGAGGCGGCGACGGGCGCCGACCGCGAUUCGGACCCUCCAAACCUGGGACAGGUAAGAACAGAAGAGGAACUAUACGUGGAAUCCUUUCUAAAGGUUUCACUUUUGCUGGCCAACCAGGAGUUGAUCAAGGUUCAACUUCAUGGCUAUAAGAUGCUUCAGCAUCUCCUGAAAUACAGGAGUGAAAAACUUAGCAGCACUGAUCUUCUAAAGUUGAUGUUACAGCUGGUUAAAUCCGAUCAUGAUUUAGUUUUAGAGAGUACUGACAGUAGAAGCAGCAUGUCAGAUAAAAGAUCCCAGAACAGUGAUUGGAGUGCGGCACCCACGGGAAUCAAUGACACAAUUUCUUCUCACCAAGGAAUGGACUGUCCUAUCCUUGCAGAGCAUAAUUUAUUAUGCGAGGCAUUUAUUAUUGCAACGUCUUGUCUAGGAAUAUGGAUCCAGAUGGAGUGGAAUCGUAAAUAUGUGCGUACCAUGUCUGGAUUGAGCAAUCUAUUUUCUGAUGGUCAAUUUUUGAAGAUGUCUUAUCACGUUGUGAAAUUCUGUGAGGAAAAGCUUAUGAAUGGAAUAAACGAGUAUGGUGCUUGUGGUGUGUUCUCCAUAGCUCUUUUGGAAUUAAUCAUUCCUCUAUUCUUGCGGCUGCUCCGUUGUAUACAUGUACUUUGGAUGGCGGAAAUUGGUGUUGACUUGUUGCCUGCAGAAGUUGAAAAGGCUAAAACCUUGAGCUGUAUGGAGCUUGAUCAUUUGCUUGAAAUUUCUGAUGGGCUGUAUACUAUUGACAGUGAGGGAUGGUUCCGUGAGAAUGAGACAAGGGCACUGUUAGAGGGAACUCGACAGAGGGUGUAA
rnacentral:rRNA from 1 species